rnacentral:rRNA from 1 species
UUCGCAAUGCCCGAAAGGGUGACGAAGCGACGCCGCGUGGGUGAGGAAGGCCUUCGGGUUGUAAAGCCCUGUCAGGAGUUAAGAAAUGUAAGUGUGCUAAUAUCGCAUUUACUUGACGAAGGCUCCAAAGGAAGUCACGGCUAACUCUGUGCCAGCGGCCGCGGUAAUACAGAGGUGGCAAGCGUUGUUCGGAAUUAUUGGGCGUAAAGAGCACGUAGGUGGGUUUGUAAGUCAGAUGUGAAAGCCUCCUGUUCAACGGGAGAAUUGCAUCUGAAACUACUGAUCUUGAGUAUAGGAGGGGAGAAUGGAACUUCUGGUGGAGCGGUGAAAUGCGUAGAUAUCAGAAGGAACGCCGGCGGCGAAAGCGAUUCUCUGGCCUAUUACUGACACUCAGUGUGCGAAAGCUAGGGGAGCAAACGGGAUUAGAUACCCCGGUAGUCCUAACUGUAAACGAUGGGCACUAAGUAGAGGGGUUUU